rnacentral:rRNA from 1 species
GACGAACGCUGGCGGCGUGCUUAACACAUGCAAGUCGAACGAAGUGGCGAACGGGUGAGUAACGCGUGAUCAACCUGCACUUCAGAGGGGGACAACAGUUGGAAACGACUGCUAAUACCGCAUACUGAAGGUGGGGAUUGCGUUGGAUUAGCUAGUUGGAGGGGUAACGGCCCACCAAGGCGAAGAUCAGUAGCCGGUCUGGGGGGAAGGACGGCCAAAAUUGGACUGGGGCACGGCCCAGAAUCCUACGGGAGGGAGCAGGGGGGAAACUUCCGCAAUGGAGGGAAGUCUGACGGAGCAACGCCGCGGGAGUGAUGACGGCCUUCGGGUUGGAAAGCUCUGUUAAGCGGGACGCGGUACCGGAAUAGAAAGCCACGGCUAACUACGUGCCAGCAGCCGCGGUAAUUC